AGCGGGGGCGCCCCGGGAGCGGGGCUGGGGCUCGGGUUCUGAGGAGCCCCUGGAACGGAGGGAAACGGGGCUGUGUCUGAGGGUGCUCGUUCCGAGGAGCCCCGGGCUCGGCGGGAGCCACUUUUUUGGCCGCCGGGCGCUGCAGCCCGUCCCGCGUUAGUGCCGGGGCCGACGGGCGGCCCUGGACGUCCCCGGGGAAGCAGAUGGGCGGGCGAGCGGGCUGCGCUCGUGUUGCCGCCUGCGUUUAGGGGGAAAACGAAAUUCAGUGGGUUUACAAGUGUGGGCUACGGAACGUGUGGAGGCAUCACGUGCAGUGCACCCUUUUGCCGUUCGUAUGGUGGAGCUGUGAACACCCUGCUCUACCCCCACACCGAUUUCCGAGCAGUCAGCACCCGACGGGAGCAGAGCUGUCGUGUUUCCUUAUCAUCUGUGAAACUCGGCACUGCUUUUGUUUUCUGCAAAGGUCACAUGUUUUGCACCUAGAGUCGGUGAUCAUGUCUCUUGAACGGUGAUAAGAUAAAGCUGUCCCCCAUCUGAACCGAGGAUUUAAGCACUCCCGUCACCUCACACGUCUCCGGUGCACACUGAAGCUGGAAGUGUGAGGGCAGCAGAUGCAGAAAUAUCUGAACUUGUGUGGGGGUAGCUGGUUCGCUAUGAAGUGGUGCAAACCCAUGAUUAUUCAAGCUUCGAUAUGGGCAAGUUAGACUGGAAUGAAUCGUGAGGGGCUGAGGUAAACCUGUACCGAAGUACUUGCCACCAUAACCCUGUUGACACAAAUUCUAUACUACGAAGAUAAGAAUUAGAUUGUUAUGAAACCGCUCUGAAAAUCAACCAUCAAUCAAAAAUUAUACCUCUGCAGAUAGUUUGUUUCUGUGACUGGGUCAGUUCUUAGUCUCCUGUAUUUCUAAGAUGGGUAUCAACAUAAAAUUUUUUAAGAUUAGCACUAAUUUUUCCGUAUCUUUUGAAAAUGACUACUAUCUCUGUAAGAGAGUUUCCAUACUAAAUGUAAAUAAAGAUAAAUAAAAGCAAACCAAUUUUGAGGCACUGUAGACUUGUUUAUAUGCAAAAUAUUUUUGGAGCAUAUUCUGUCACUAAUUCCUUUUUCUGUAGUAAUUUUUUUCUUCUGUUUUUGAGAGUAUGAAUCAAUUCUUCUGUUGGAGCAACCAGAAGAGAGUAUUGUCAUCAUGAUGUGUCAUUGUACCUAGGUCAGUUGUUUGGUUCCCAGGGUAAAUAAAAGAAUGGAAACAGUCAGGAACUCUCUAAUUCUGCAGAGUAACUGCCCAGGAAAUGAUACUCCCAGCUUAAUAUAAUUUAGGCCGAAGAAACAAUUAGAAAAACCUGCUGCAGAAAAUCUUUCAGUGGCAAGCAGAGCACAUGGAAAGUCACAGAAGUUGCAGCCUAGUCGAUAUAAAAACCCCACCCCUCUAUUGCACAUGAAUGGCUGUGCAACUCAUAGGAAAGGGGAAGCAGCAUUUCUCGUUGUCAUGAGCUGUUACCAAAAGGUGUUUUGCAUUAGCAGUUAGUAUGGGUCUGUUCAUGCCCCCUCCAUCCCAGAUAAGGCCAAUUUCUGUCUGCAAACGUUGUGUAUUGUUACCUCCCUGUUUGGGGAAAAGCUGCAGGGCUCACGUUGUCACUAAACACAGUGUCACACCACUAGCUGUGAUGAAGUGUGGCAUGUGCUAAUUACGAAAAGGAAACAGAACAGGUACUGCCAGGUGCAGGAAGUAUAAAAGCACAACUCAGCGUAAAGGGGACCUUUAGCACCUUUCUUUUGCAGCAGCUGUUCAAAAUUGAAGGUCCACACAGAAAGGGCACACAGAAAUCAAGUCUUCCUGUUUAAACACGUGGGUUUUAAGUAAAUCCUCAGAGGUGUGAUACGAAGUUAAUUGUGGCACAUAAAAUCAGCAUGGUUAUUAUCAGUCUUUUGCCACUGAUUCAGGGUGAAGUAAACCUGUAGCACACUUAAUUUUAUAAAAAUUCAUAGAAUAAAAGAAUGUUUUGUUAAGGAGUGUCUUGCAUGCAGCUGUUGUGUAGACAUGCAAUGUUACAUAGAGCAGCCUCAAAGUGGCAAUUGAUGUUCAACUAGUGGGCAAAAAAACUUCUGCCUGUCUAAUUAUAGACUGGUGCUAGAGAAUUUGAUUUUUUUAAAGACAUUCUGUUCAAAAGCUCUGUCAUAGACACUCAUAUUCAUGCCAGCAGAGUUCGAUAUCCCAGGUUUAUGGUAAUUCUGCAGAAAGCAUGAAGAGUUUUUGCUCUCUUCUGUCUCGGUGAUUUCUCCAAAAUAUACUAGAGCCAAGGAAGAGAAAUGCAAGUUUCUGUCAUAUUUCUUGUGCCUGUAGAUGUGAGAAAGCAUCCUCUGCUUAGGCUUUCAGUUCUGUUUUGAAGCUUCAGCAAUUUUGUAAUUGAUACAACUUCAAAUUUAUUUUUUUAAGAGCUAGAUGAGAACAUCUAGAUUGAAUUUUCAUUCAUCACAAGCCAAGUGUGAUGCAAGCAGCUUUCAGAGCCAGCCAAACUGAGCUUCAGUUGAAUCCACUGUGCAGCUCUUCAAAGUCAGUAAUUCUCUGUCAUAAGCUAGAGGACAAUUUAAUUUUUUUCUUUAGUUUAAAGAAAAGAUUAGCAUGUUGUGAAGGUACAACAGUUGUGCAUCGCUGUGAGCUGACCAACAGCUCCUGCCUCCACUUGCCAUCGCUGUGAUUUAAGGCAGUUCCAGCACACCCAAGCCUGAGGGCAAGGGUACCAAGUGUGGCAGUGCUGGACACUCCCAGUUGUUGUCCAUCAGACCAUGAGACAGAGCAGCUUUCUCUGAAAAGCAAAUGUUAGCAAGACAGGAGGGCAAGGAGAGCAAGACAUUGCUCCUUUUCCUCCUUGCUUUACAGAAUUACCUGUAGGCACAGUGAAAUAACCUGUGCGUGUUACAUGGCACAAGAAAAGGGAGCAAUGAAUAUAUUCAGGUUUCUACUGACUGGUAGCAGUGAAAAGGGUAAUUAUUCUGUGAAAAAUUCAAUACUUUGGAAGCAAAUGGUGAUGCUUUUGAGGAACGAAUAUUAUCCUCUUCUACUUCAGAUUCAUCAGAAAUUGAUUUUGUUCACACAAAACUAUUUUGCCUGUCUGUAUUUGAUAGCAGUCCAUUUUCAGCAGGGCCACCAUCUGCACGGGCACUCCUGCUAGAGGUGAACUAUCUGGUGGACACCACGCCAUUUUAAUAGGGUUGGGAUGAAUCAGGAACAGCUGGAGAAUGUGCUAUUUGAAUAUCCCAAAAGGCUACCUCUUCCUAUAGGAACUUAGACCUGAUAAAGGAUGAGGAAGCUUGGUCUAUAGCUACCAGCACUUCUGUUACCACUGGGUAAGAAUAGACUGAGAUGGUUUCUGUCCACGAGACAGCAAGAAAAUGAAGAGCAGGAAGGACAGGGGAAAGUGUGUGAGACUUGGCAGCGUGUUUGAACUGAUAUUACUGAAACACGAUGCGUGACAGGAUUGUUUCUAUCGCUGCCUACAAGCUGUUUAGGAAAGGCAACAUGAGUAAUAAGGUGUGAAGGAGUAAAACUAUAUCAACUGAAAACAUUACUCCUUGCAUAAUAUCUCAGAAUUGCAGAAUCCUGAGUGCCCAUAAAUAAUCGCUCACAAAGCCUCCAUGGCACCUCUGUUACAGAUCUUCACUCAUCACUAAGUCAUGCCAGAGAAGGAAACGUGGUUGUUAUUAUGCACAGCUGCAUAAUGAAAAGCUGGAGUUCUAUAACAGAUUUAUUCUCUUAAGCAAGCACUAUUUAAAUUACAUUUCCACAAGAAAACAGAUCCAUUCUGGAGCAGUUGCCAACAUGGCAACAUCUAUUGGAAUUCACUACAAAGAAAAAUAGAAGUACUGGACUAAAAAUCAAUUGUUGUCUAGACCUAGUAAGGAUGAAGGAAAUUAAGUAACAUUCAGUUUGGGCAGGUAACAGAUCCCAUUAUUAUGUCUCCAUGGAACUGCAGGGAUUCAAGGAAUUUAAUAUUUUUGCACUGAAUACAACAACAGGAAAAAUGAUGGAAAAAUAUUUAAAACCUAUGAAUGACAACUCAGACUUCCUGAAGAAGACUUUGUUGUCAAAUAGAUUAAGGUUCCAGAGGCAAAUGAUUGAGGCCUAGAACUCCAUUGCCAAGUGAUCAUUAGAAGCUAAAUAGCAAUGAAAAAAUUAGAAGUUAUGAAAUGUAAGAAAAAAAGUAAAAAGGCAAAAUCCUACUAAAAGGGUUUUGGAAACAUAAAGGAUGUUCUUAAUAUUUAUUAUUGCAAAAAUAAAGUAACUGCAAAAACGAAAAAUUCAACACCAGUUUCUGUCCUGUAUCUGUAAGGGAUCAGGCUGGUCCAUCAUAGCAGUUAGAGAUUAAUGAGGCAAAUAUUCUUCAGGCAGUAUGCCUAAACAACACACAAAUUGUACUUUUUUUCAAACAUAAAUUUGGCAUGAAUAAAGGAAAAAACUAUACAUGUUUGUGUGGGUCAUUACAUAAUUUCUGAUACAUUUGUCUAAUAUGUUCCUAAAAAUCUCUACCAGUGGAAGUGGCAUCCCUUUUUUAGGCAAUGUUCAUGUAUUUGCUUUCAGUACUGCUACUGUACUGUACUGUUCUUUGCUCGAGCAUUUCCAUGGCUACCAACAGGAGCAGAGAUGAAUCUUAAAAUGCACUCAUUUAUACUUUUUAACAGUAUUUUUACUGCUUAGAAGUAAAAAUGGUUUUAGAAGAAAUUCAAGAAUUUGAGAGUUGUCAGUUUUAUGAGACAAGCAGAGUUGCUGCUUCUCCGGUGUCUCUGCUUUCAGUGAGUACAGUAAGGCCUGUGCAGAAAUGAUUGGCAGUUAACCCUUCAUCGGCAAAUCCCAAAAUCUUUACGUGACAAGCAGUUGUAGCACUAUUAAAUGGCUGUUACUGCUGUUAACAGAGGGACACAGAGACUUUGUACUGCUUUUGCAGCCCCUCGUUCUUGGAUUAGCUGCAAAUACAGUAAUGACAGACACUGGCCUUCCAGAAUCAUUUGCCCUGCAGGAAGGCUGUCAGGCAGAAGGCAGUGCCUCUGUCCCCACUGUUUACAGGUGAAGUUGUUAUACAUGGAUGAAGUAGGGCAGGGACGCCAGUGUUUUGUCACUCAGUGGCUUUUUCUCAGCAGCAGGUUGGCCCACUGUCAGCUCUGUCAGCUGUUUUUUCCUAUUCAUCCCAUUAUCAUCCCAUUGGAGCAGAGGUAGACCAUAAAAUUUAUAAGCAUUUGCAUGUAAUAUUACAUUUUGAGAGGAACUUGAACAAUGGAACAGAAGUCUUACAGUAGGAAGCUGAAGUGUAUCAGUAAAGACUCCUUUGUCCCAAACCUCUGGAUUCUUUUUGUCAUUAGUUUCACAGGUAAUAAAAGAAAAUUAUGUGAGAUGCUGUAUGUGGAAGGUAAUGUCUAAUUCAUUGGGGAUAAUACUUAACUAUGCUGGUCCUGGCAGGGAAAGAAUGAGUUACUGUGAAGGAAUCCUGGCAUUCCAGAAGGUUCACUGCCUUCCCAUGUAUUUUCACAUCAGACACUCCCAUGAAAGCACAGUGUGACAUGCAUUUACAGCCAGCCUGUCCUACCACUGACGGAUGCACUUGCUCUAGGACUGUACAGUGGCAGUUUUUCCAUGACAGGAGCAUUGUUUACACUGGAAACUAAUUCUUUAUAAUAUGUGUAUUUAAUAUUAAUUCAGAUACAGGAAUUGAGAAGUCUGACUGAUGAAAUGCAGUUCUUUUAUCGAGUAUCUUCUAUAAAAGCAAUAUACUACUUCUGCUGUAUUUAAGAAAUAAUUGAAAAUAGCAUAUGCCUUUUAAAGUUUCAACUACCAAGUUUGAAUUAAAGCAUUUACCCAAGGACCUUACAGAGGGACUUCCAUUAUUUCCCACAGCAUGUUUCCACGUUGUUUUCACUGAACUUCUAAUUUAGCAGAAUUCAUUCUGUACAGAAUCCCAGGUUACUUUGGCUGCAGACUUACAGCAUGAAAAUGCACAAGGCUCCACCAAGUACAAUGUGAGCUGUUGAGGCUUUUUUUCCAUUCUCUGAAAGGAGGUGCAGCCACGGAAUUAGUGAGAUACUUGUUACUUGAUGGCUGAACACAAGUUAAAAGCAGAAAUAGAAAUCUGCUGGAUUAGAUCACGUAUUACAUACAAGUUCUGUAACUGUUAUAGGAGAGAGGGUCUGGGUUUGCUAGGGUUUGAUUUUUUUUUUAAAAGGUCUCAUGUUUUCUAAACAUGAAUUUGUCAUUAUAAAUUAAUUUCUACAGAAAUAAAGUGUGGACAAAGGUCAUUUUGUCUUUUUUUAAAGAACAUUUGCAACGUAUUUAACUUUCCUACAUCCUAAAAAUAGUUUAAAAAAUUACAGCAAUGAAAAGGACUCCCAAAUUAGGUAUGUCAUGCUAUUUCUCCAGAAUAUUUAAUGCUUAACUGCAUGUUGUAUCUAUAUUAUACACAUCAGCCGAAGAAAAUGAAGACACACACACACCAUCCAAUUGUCCUUUUAUAUUUUUAUUCGGUGUUAAGUAACUCCACAAGAAAACAAAAUCAGUUACUCUGGUGUACGUGAAAUCAGAACAAUACAACCACUUGAAGCAAAAAGUAGAAACAAAUUUCAGCCCAGGAAUGGAAAACUGAUACUUCAAUGCUAUGGAUAUGCAAUGCGCUUCAUCCCACAGUGCGGUUCAGCGUAUGCCAACCUUUAAUGCUCUUGUUGUUAUUGUUGUUGGUGUGUGUUUCUAUCCAUAUAGAAAAACUAAAAACCACACUUCAACUCUCACUGAAAGCCUUAGAGCUUUAGCCUUUAAACUAUGAAAACGAGUAAAGACAAUUUGUUAUUGCCCAAGCUCAAGAUAGGAUUUUAUUUUCCCCAAAGGUGCUGGAAUCAUUACAUGCCACAGUGUAACUAUGAGCAACACCUUUGUUACUUUUGAGCCCUUUCUUUCCAAUGAAGAAGCUCUAGCCAGAAUUAACUGAGCUGAAGUUUGUGUUUGAAAUAUGUCCACUUGGUCACUUCCUGUUCUCAAAUGAAUUCUAUUCCAUUCUUCACUGUAGUGAUUUGAAGAAUUUGUGUGUAAAGUUCUUUUUUCCUUUCAUGUUACAGUUAACUAGUUUCAGUGCAGGUGCUAAUCAACCUCUCAAGGAAGCUCCAGAAGAAAGUAAAAUAUAUAAAAUCUAUUCAAAGUCUGCAAAUAAAUUAAGAAAAGAAACUGUAAAGUGUCAAAAGAUUUGCUGUAUGAAUACAAACCCUAAAACAUCGUCUAAGAGGAGGACCAAAAGAAAGUCCUUGGAUAAGGGCAACCAAGCCAGUUUUAGUAAGGAUCUCACCAAAAGUGUUGCACGAAGACCGGCAUGGUUUCCCAACCACGUAUUUAAAUUCUUACACUCUCAAAUGAAUAAAGGCAACAAAACCCAGUUACUCAGAAAGCAUUUCUAGCGCAGAACAUAUUUCAAAGGCAGUUCAGCUCACAUUUCAAACAGCUAUGUUUCUUGUGAGGUUUAUUGCCUGUCAAAAAUAAUGGUGAAGCUUUUCAAGUCAGUAUUGGACUUUCUGCACUUCCUGGUGUUAUAGACAUGCUGCGAUCGUGUAGACUAGUUAGUUGUUGUCAUUUUUUAAACUAGGAGUUGUUAAAAACUCAGAAUGUUUAGUUUUGCAAAUAUUGCUCCUCCUGGCUUAUACAUUUUGCAUAAUGUGUUAAAAGCAGAAGGAGUUGAUAGUCUUGUACAGAUGCAACUUGACAAUGUAUUGACUUUCUAAGUUAACAAAAGAAAAUUUAAAAGCAAGUCACAUAAAGCAACAAUCACUACUGCAAUCACACAUGUAUUUUGUAAGUCAUCACCUUCCCUACCCCCACCCACCACACACAUAACUUGCCCCACACAUUCUCUCAGAAACACAAAAUGAACUACGAGAUUUACUAAAUUACAGCCACAACAGCAGCUAACUGCAGCAGCCACAGGAUUUCUUUCAAGUGAAGCACUGACCCUUUGCAUUUAAAACAUUGAACACUGAGCAUUUUAGAGAGUUUCAGUCAUUCAGGCUCAAGUUCAGUUACAGGAUGCUUUUGCAGGUUACAUGAAUGCCUUCAUCUGCAACAAGACAACAUUCUCAUUACUCAUUAACAAAAUUCACAACAAUCCACACAUCACCCCAGUGGUUUAUUAUUUUUGGUGUUACUUUUGAACUUCUGCCCCACAUUGGCAAAUUGCUAAAAAGGACAAAAAAAAAGAAAAAAA